rnacentral:rRNA from 1 species
ACUCCUACGGGAGGCAGCAGUAGGGAAUCUUCGGCAAUGGACGAAAGUCUGACCGAGSAACGCCGCSUGAGUGAAGAAGGUUUUCSGAUCGUAAAACUCUGUUGUUAGAGAAGAACAAGGACGUUAGUAACUGAACGUCCCCUGACGGKAUSUAACCAGAAAGCCACGGCUAACUACGUGCCAGCAGCCGCGGUAAUACGUAGGUGGCAAGCGUUGUCCGGAUUURCUGGGCGUAAAGCGAGCGCAGGCGGUUUCUUAAGUCUGAUGUGAARGCCCCCGGCUCAASCGGGGAGGGUCAUUGGAAACUGGKAGACUUGASUGCAGAAGAGGAKAGUGGAAUUCCAUGUGUAGMGGWGAAAUGCGUASAUAUAUGGAGGAACACCAGUGGCGAAGGCGGCUCUCUGGUCUGUAACUGACGCUGAGGCUCGAAAGCGUGGGGAGCAAACAGGAUUAGAUACCCUGGUAGUCCACGCCGUAMACGAUGAGUGCUAAGUGUUGGAGGGUUUCCGCCCUUCAGUGCUGCAGCAAACGCAUUAAGMACUCYGCCUGGGGAGUACGACCGCAAGGUUGAAACUCAAAUGARUUGACGGA